UACUGUAGUGUUGUGCUGCCUUGUGUGUGCCAUGUGCUCUCCCCUUUCCUAACUAGAGAAAAAAACCUCAAGAAUCAUAUGUUACUUUUUUUUUUUUUUUUCUGUUUUCUGGAGUACACCAUCCCUCGAAUCCCAUCCGGAUCAACCACAAAACCCGGGGGUCUACAAAAGCCAAGAACUCAGGGUUUUGAAUACAAAGCAAUGUUCACAAUCCCCUUUUCUAACAACUCCUGUACAAGUCUCUCCAUCACAGCCUUCCCUAAUCCAAUCCCCUGAUACGAAGGAUCCACCACCAUGUCCCAGAUGAUGGCAUUGAAAACAUUGUCCCCUGUGGCUCUAGCAAAUGCAACUGGCUUCUGGGUUUUCUUGUGCUCCACCCAGAGGAGCGAGUUCGUGUUCUCCAAUGCCAGUUUGAUCUUCUCCUAUUGCCAGUUUGAUACCCAUAUAGCAAUUUUUUGUUUUUGGUUGACGGGGGAAUUUUUUGAGGGUUCUCAUUUGAGGAAUUGUCAGGUUGAAUGGGGAUUGAGACAAGUAAGGCUAACAAGAAGGAAAAGAACUCUUAUGAAUUGGAGAAAGAAAAGAAUCCAAUUCUGGACCCGUAUCCAAAUCCAGAAACCAAUACGAAUACCAAAGGGAAGAAGAGCCAGCGACGGCACCACAAGAAGGCGGUGGUGGUAUCGCCGAUUGAAAAACUGUAUGACACCUGCGAGGAAGUAUUUUCCGUUGGUGGCCCUGGAAUUGUUCCCCCUCCUGAUAAAAUCGAAAAGCUGAGGGCGGUUUUCGAUGACAUCAAACCAGAGGAUUUUGGUCUGAGUCCGGAGAUGCCAUAUUUUCGUGCACUUGCUGCUGGGAGAACCCCUAAAAUAAAAUACCUUUGUAUCCAUAUAUCUGACAAUUUCUCGAUGGGUAUCUUCUGCUUCCCGCCAUCAGGUGUGAUACCCCUUCAUAAUCAUCCUGGAAUGACUGUUUUUUGCAAGCUGAUAUUUGGGAAGAUGCACAUUAAAUCGUAUGACUGGGUGGUUGAUGGCCCUUGCAAUGUGUCUGCUGUGGCGAAUCCUUCCGAUGGUGAAUGUCUCUCUCUCUCUCUUAAGUGUGAUUAUUCAUACCUUAUGUGUGAUAUUGGAACCUUAUAAAUAGAAGUUGCUAGAGCAGCUUUAAACCUUGGUGGAACGAUGCUAGGUUACUAUCCUGUUAGAGUGUUACCUUCAAAAACUGCCAUCCUUCUAGUGAAUCCUACAUUUCUGCCUAGGGCUUCUCAGGCUGAAGUAAAAAAUUUCUUUGAAUCAACCUGUGGUGAGGUGAGGACAGAAAUAAAAGAUAUCCCCUUCCCUCCCCAAAAAGAGUUGGCUGUAAGGAGCAUCCCAAUGUUUGACUGCCCUUUUUUUUCUUGUAUAUUUUUUCAUUCAUAGAAUCAUAGGUUAUCCGCUUGAGGCUUUUGGGGGAUCAUGUCCAUUCAAGUCGUAUAGCUUUUGUUGAAUUUGCCAUGGUGAGUUUGUGUUCACAGCACUUAAAUGAGUGUAAAUUCUGAGAGCUGCAUUGUUAUGGGAAUUUUGCUUGUGCUUAGUUUUCCUUGUGCUUAGUUUUCCUUGGAUUUUAAUAUGUCUUUCUUCAUUCAUCCAUUCUUGCGUCUGUUUAUCUGUUUGUUAUCAUAGCUACCUUAGCAAUAUCAUUACCAUAACUUUUUACUGCAUCUUUAAUAGAUUUUGAAGUGUAACAUGAGUUACUCCUCUCUCCAUGUGUGUGUGUAUGUGUGUGUGUGUGUGUGUGCGUGUGCGCGCACGCGAGCGCGCGUGUAUUGAAUAAUAGCUGCCUUGAUGUAACAGUAUUGGGCAUUCAUUAGUGCUAAUUUGAAUGAGCUUCCCUUAACAAUAUAUUCUAGCAUAUUAUCUUCUUUGUGGAGGGGGUACAGAGGUUUGGAAGGUUGCUUGACUAUUUUGAAAUCUAUUUUUAAAGUUUCAAAUUUUACCUUGUUGGAGAUCUAAGUAAAAUUCAAGUUUCAACAUUCUAUGCCUAGUUAGAUUUUACUUGGUAUAGAAUGUUGAAAAUUGAAUUUUCAUAUUUAAGUCCUUCAUAUUGAACUAAUGGAAAGGGAAUUGUCCUGCUUUCUAUUUGCUUAAAGAGUAAUUUUGCAUUCACUUUUACUCAUUGAGGUGCUUUUCCUUGAUGCAAAUUAUGGCUUUAUCCUUGAUUUGACUAUGGGGCAUAAUUAAUGUUUGAAGAGAUAUUAUUAUGGGACCAGAAUAUUCAUGAAUAAAUAUGGAGUGGAAUGGUCCAGAUCUUCUUGCUAGCAUGGGUAUUUACCGAGAAAAUAUGGCCAGACAUGACUUGGUUCACUUUUGUGAUAUUGUAAUCUAUUUAUCGCCCAAUACUGAAGUUUGUAGGUUGGAGUCUAUAUUGGAUUUCUUAGGGUUUCAAUUGCAUUGCAAGUGUAUACUUUUCUUUGCAUAUAUUAAAUUUAUGAACUUCAUAAUUUAAUAAAGAUAUCCUUUUCUCCAA